AACGAACGCUGGCGGCAGGCCUAACACAUGCAAGUCGAGCGCCCCGCAAGGGGAGCGGCGGACGGGUGAGUAACGCGUGGGAACGUACCCUUUGCUACGGAAUAGCCUCGGGAAACUGGGAGUAAUACCGUAUGUGCCCUUCGGGGGAAAGAUUUAUCGGCAAAGGAUCGGCCCGCGUUGGAUUAGGUAGUUGGUGGGGUAAUGGCCUACCAAGCCGACGAUCCAUAGCUGGUUUGAGAGGAUGAUCAGCCACACUGGGACUGAGACACGGCCCAGACUCCUACGGGAGGCAGCAGUGGGGAAUCUUAGACAAUGGGCGCAAGCCUGAUCUAGCCAUGCCGCGUGAGCGAUGAAGGCCUUAGGGUUGUAAAGCUCUUUCGGCAGGAACGAAACGGUGAGGGCUAAUACCCUUUACUAAUGACGGUACCUGAAGAAGAAGCACCGGCUAACUACGUGCCAGCAGCCGCGGUAAUGUCGAUAUCGCUGAGACUG
rnacentral:rRNA from 1 species